rnacentral:rRNA from 1 species
GUCUUUUUGAAAUAAAUUUAAAGUCUAACCUGCCCACUGAAAAUUUUAAAUGGCCGCAGUAUUCUAACUGUGCAAAGGUAGCAUAAUCAUUAGUCUUUUAAUUGAAGGCUGGAAUGAAUGGUUGGACGAGAUAUUAACUGUUUCAUUUAAAUUUUUUAUAGAAUUUUAUUUUUUAGUCAAAAAGCUAAAAUAAAUUUAAAAGACGAGAAGACCCUAUAAAUCUUUAUAUUUUGUUUAUUUUAAUUAUAAAGAUUAUUUUUAUUAUAAUAAAUUAAAAUAUUUUAUUGGGGUGAUAUUAAAAUUUAAAAAACUUUUAAUUUUUAAAACCAUUGAUUUAUGAAUAAUUGAUCCAUUAAUAAUGAUUAAAAAUUUAAGUUACUUUAGGGAUAACAGCGUAAUUUUUUUGGAGAGUUCAUAUCGAUAAAAAAGAUUGCGACCUCGAUGUUGGAUUAAGAUAUAAUUUUGGGUGUAGCCGUUCAAAUUUUAAGUCUGUUCGACUUUUAAAUUCUU